CUAGGUUAAUGGGUCCCAUUUGCCGUUUUCUGAUUCGUCCUUGAUCUUACUCGUAUCACCGAAAGAGGUCUUUGGAUUUCAUUUCCGCCACACUCUAAGGCACUUCCGGAAAUCCGGAAGCGGCCUGUUACCAUGGCGACUGUAUACACUGCCCAGCUGCCCAGCCCGUAGUGACCCGGUCUCGUGCAGUUUGGAUUGCUGCACUUGCCGCUGUCGCGCUCAGAAAGUGCCGCUGCCUCGCAAGGGUAGUGAUUGAAGAUGGACGCAGAUGUGGAGACUCAGCCACCCUGUGACUUCUGGCCCUGACCAUCACUGCCAACCACCAUUUCCUGACCCCCCCACCCGCUCUGUACCAGGCGCUGUUCUGGAUAUUGUUGGGCGGGGGGGAUUCAAAAGACAUAGAAGGCGCAGAACUUGCCCUCUGACAUCUCACCAGUAAUUUGGGCUUGGGAGCUGAAACCCACAUAAAUGAAGCGGCAUAGAAAUGGUAACAAGCAGUGUUUCACGAAGAUGGGCUCCAAGAAGAAGGUUCACACCUUUGUGCGCGUCAAGCCCACUGAUGACUUCGCCCACGAAAUGAUCAAGUAUGGAAAUGACAGCAAGAGCAUUGAUAUUCACUUAAAAAAAGACACUCGGAAAGGAGUUGUCAAUAACCAGCAGACAGACUGGUCCUUCAAGCUGGACGGAGUUCUUCACAAUGCCUCCCAGGACCUGGUUUAUGAGACAGUCGCAAAGGAUGUGGUUUCUCAGGCCCUGGAUGGCUACAAUGGCACCAUCAUGUGCUACGGGCAGACGGGAGCUGGCAAGACGUACACUAUGACGGGGGCCACCGAGAACUACAGGCACCGUGGAAUUCUGCCCCGUGCCCUGCAGCAGGUCUUCAGGAUGAUUGAGGAGCGCCCCACACACGCCAUCACAGUGCGCAUCUCUUACCUGGAAAUCUACAAUGAGAGCCUGUUUGAUCUCCUGGCCACUCUGCCAUAUGUGGGCACCUCCGUCACGCCAAUGACCAUCGUGGAAAACACCCAGGGGAUCUUCAUUAAGGGCCUGUCGGUCCACCUCACCAGCCAGGAGGAGGAUGCCUUCAGCCUCCUAUUUGAGGGAGAAACCAACAGGAUCAUAGCCGCCCACACCCUGAACAAAAACUCUUCCAGGUCACACUGUAUCUUCACCAUCUACCUGGAGGCCCAUUCCCGGACUUUAUCCGAGGAAAAGUACAUCACUUCCAAAAUUAACUUGGUGGACCUGGCUGGCUCCGAGAGGCUGGGGAAGUCUGGGUCUGAGGGCCUUGUCCUGAAGGAAGCCACUUACAUCAACAAGUCGCUGUCAUUCCUGGAGCAGGCCAUCAUCGCCCUCGGGGACCAGAAGCGGGACCACAUUCCUUUCCGCCAGUGUAAACUCACCCACGCCUUGAAGGACUCACUGGGGGGAAACUGCAACAUGGUCCUAGUGACUAACAUCUACGGGGAAGCCGCGCAGCUGGAGGAGACGCUGUCUUCACUGCGCUUUGCCAGCAGGAUGAAGCUGGUCACGACUGAGCCUGCAGUCAAUGAAAAGUACGAUGCCGAGCGAAUGGUCAAGAACCUGGAGAAGGAACUGGCAUUACUCAAGCAGGAGCUGGCCGUGCACAACAGCUUGUGCAGCCGCCCUGUGGUGACCUACGACCCCAUGGAUGAAGUCCAGAUUGCUGAGAUCAACUCCCAGGUGCGGAGGUACCUGGAAGGAACUCUGGAGGAGAUCGACAUAAUCAGCCUGAGACAGAUCCAGGAGGUGUUCAACCAGUUCCGGGUGAUUCUGAGUCAACAAGAGCAGGAAGUGGAGUCUACCUUACGCCGGAAGUACACCCUCAUAGACAAGAACGACUUUGCAACCAUUUCCGCCAUCCAUAAGGCAGGGAUUGUGGAUGCUGACGGCCACUUAGUUGGUGAGUCUGACGGGCAGAGCUUUGCGUUUGGGAUCAUCCCUUUCUCUACCAAGCCUGGGAAGAAAGCCAAGGCCAAGAAGAUCUUCAAAGAGCUGAGCUCCUCACUGAAGAAGGAAGGUGGCAGCAGCCCUUUGAGUCUCAAGGACCUGGACACAGUCUCCACCUCUAAAACCCAGCUGGUCCUGCCUGUCAAGGAGGUGGAUGUCAAGGACUCGGCUUCCCGGGAGAGGGAAACCUCCAACAUCGAGCCUCAGGUGUCUAGUUCCCCAAAGGAGGAGCCACGCCCGCCCAGGCCCAGCACCCCGCCCCCCAGGAGUUUGGCCUUUGAAGAUUUCAAGAACGAGCGAGGUAGUGAGAUCAACCGCAUCUUCAAAGAAAACAAGGCCAUCUUGAAUGAACGGAAGAAAAGGGCCAGUGAGACCACGCAGCGCAUCAAUGCAGUCAAGCGGGAGAUUGAUGUGACUAAGGAGGCGCUGAACUUCCAGAAGUCACUACGGGAGAAGCAAGGCGAGUAUGAGAACAAGGGGCUGAUGAUCAUUGACGAGGAGGAAUUCCUGCUGAUCCUGAAGCUCAAAGACCUCAAGAAGCAGUACCGCAGCAAGUACCAAGACCUGCGUGACCUCAGGGCUGAGAUCCAGUACUGCCAGCGCCUGGUGGAUCAGUGUCGCCAGCGCCUGCUCAUGGAAUUUGACAUCUGGUACAACGAAUCCUUUGUCAUCCCCGAGGACAUGCAGGCGGUGAUGAGCCUGGGUAGCAGCAUCCGGCCGGGCAUGGUGCCUGUUAACAGGGUCGUGUCUCUGGUGAGCAGCACAGGGGUGGGCACGGACCAGCAGCAGCACCCCUCGUCUUGGAAUCUUGUCCCCCCACCUUGGCAGUGCAGGUGGAUUCUCCAGCCUGUGGUGCAGGCAGAGCCAGGGACUGGUUACUGGCAGACAUCACUCUGGCCUCUCCUGACCUCCCGAGGUGGCUCAUCCUGCCCAGGUGGCAGCUCCUGGGGUGCGUGGGGAGCCUGACACAUUCAGGGGCUGUAGGACUGCGAGAUGCCGUGGGCAUAACCUGACAAGGUUGGGCUGAUGGGACCGUCCUGGGCCGGGCCUCACCCAGGGAGAAGAUGACCAGGACAAGUUCAGCCAGCUUCAGCAGACGGUGCUGCCCGAGGCGCCUGACUCCAUUCCCUUCAUCAACGCCAAAGUCAAAACAGAACAGAAGCAAAAUUACUUGAAAACCAUGAUGGGCCUCCAGCAGGCCCACAGAAAAUAGUAGCAUCACGAAUCCCUGGAGGGGCCUUCAACUCCAGCUGCUGUAGGGGAGCCGAGAAGCACCUGCCUGAGCUCCGCCUACCUGCUCGGGACUGCAGCUGGGGAACUUGUGGUAGCCCGCAUGCCGGGAGGGGCGUCCUGUGGCCCACCCAUGCUCACCUCAAUUUUGAUUUGCUGUCUUACAUGCACGGACAGGAUAAAAUCACUUUCUGGUUUGAACUUUUUAGUGUUAAUCCAACAACUUUGUUUUAUUUCCCAUCUGAA